rnacentral:misc_RNA from 1 species
UACGUAGGUGCCAAGCCUUGUCCGGAAUCAUUGGGCGUAAAGCGCGCGCCGGCGGUCUUUUAAGUCUGAUGUGAAAGCCCCCGGCUCAACCGGGGAGUGUCAUUGGAAACUGGGAGACUUGAGUACAAAAGAGGAGAGUGGAAUUCCACGUGUAGCGGUGAAAUGCGUAGAUAUGUGGAGGAACACCAGUGGCGAAGGCGACUCUCUGGUCUGUAACUGACGCUGAGGCGCGAAAGCGUGGGGAGCAAACAGG